rnacentral:misc_RNA from 1 species
GAAAUGCGAUACGUAAUGCGAAUUGCAGAAUUCAGUGAAUCAUCAAAUCUUUGAACGCAACUUGCGCUCUUGGGUAUCCCCGAGAGCAUGCUUCUUUGAGUAUCGUUUCAACCCACUCUCGGCCUCGUGCUGGGGAAAAUGAGUGUUUUUUCUCUAUGCGGUAGUGUAGAGUCACUUGAAGUGGAGCUGCGCUGUUCUACUCACAAAUCAAAUCGCUUAUUGUUAAGUCCUGGUUCCGCUAAAAGUCUGCUUUUAGCCGGGUCUCGGAUCGCCAACUAGCCUUUGAUGUUUGAUACUUGACUUCGGUCAUCAUUUCAUUCUA